CAACAGAGCCGAAUCCGUUAGAAAAUGUGAACAAAGGGCUUUGCUUUUCUCUGCGUAAAUUGGUCUGACCGAUCUCAGUCUCAGUAGCUAAGCAGCAACGGGCCCGACCGGUUCACACAUUUGCUGGUUUGUUAUUUUUGGGGGGGGAGAGGAAAUAUACGAGUUAAAACGGAUAGCCUUUUGGGAGGGAGAGAGAGGGAUGAAAGGUGUAGAAGGGACAUUGCUGUGCAUAGGGGAUUUGCUAAGCGAUCUUGGAGAGAAAGAAGCAGAUGCUGUUAGAACAGCUGAUCAUCACCUAACCUACAAAUAAGCAGGUUCACCUUCAUUUUCAAUUACUUAUUCUGGCGAUACCUUCAAUCCUCCUUGGAUCUUACCAAGCUCUUCCAGGAAAAUUACAGCCACUUGAAUAAGGCACUUAACAGGACAGAUCACUCCUGGAAAACUCUUACUCUAAAGGUAUUCUGGAUCAAUGUUUAAGAGUAUGCAUGAUAUGUAGAGUAAUUCUACAUCAGUAUUUAGCUUGGUAAGCAUUUUCUUGGACAUUGUAUUUGCAUGUCUUACCAUCAUCGUUAGUGGAGUAUGAGUAUACAAUGCAAAUUAUUGUACGAUCCCCAAUAUAUUUGUAAUUCAUACAAAGAUUGUAUGUGAUUCUAUGUGCAAGCCUAGAUAGUUUGAAAUUUUGCAUGGUACUUUGCUGAUGCAUUAUUUAUAUGCUCAAUCUGUAACCUUGUUGCUCUUUGUUUUUGUAAUAUUCCAUUUAUGCACUGCUCUGGAAACUGCAAAUGAGCUGGUCCAGUCGACUAACUCAAAUGUCAGGUUCCUGUCUGAGAACGUUGGAGAGCUUGAGAAAUUUGUCAAGAGAGAAAAUUCUGCUGUUGCAGCAGCCAAAAGGGAGGUUUACUUAUUGGCAGUAGAAAUGUCCAGUAGUUUAGGUCUCCUUUGAACAUCGCUGGUAAAGUGCAUUUGUUGGAAUUCUUUUUUCUGUUUCUAUUUUUUUUUUUCUUUCUUAUAUAUGUUUUUGUUCUUGUCCCCCUGGUAAAUUAUCUACAAUAGAUUAAAGAUGCAGAUUUUAAGUAAUACAUUGGGUGGAACUUUUUCUGCUAAAUGCUAAUGAUUUCUUUAAACUACCCUGAUAAUAUAUUGUUAAAGACUAAAUCAAUGGUAAGUUCUUUGCUUAAGAUGUGGCAUCGUCUGAGAAUGGUGCUAUGUAUAUAUGCUUAUGGAGUCCAUUGUAUAAACAAGGAAGGCUUUGAUGUACCAAAACUUCCCCGAAUGAGGCCCUUCUACACUGGCGUUCUUAAUCUGCAUGGCAUUUUGUUUUUCUGGAUCUAAGCCCAAGUCAUUAAUGAGGUGAGCAGCAGGAGUGCAGGACUAACAAAGGACUACACAUGGAGCCUUCAGCGUUACUUCUUUCCAAGCAUGAAAGCUAAGCUUAAAGCCUGUCUCGUAAGAGCUAUGGGGUUAUCCACUGAAUGUGAAAUGAGAGAAAAAAAAAAAAAAAGCUUUUACAAAAUAAAUUACAUGAUUAGUAGAAAGAAAUGGACUAUCACCAGAGAAAGGAAGACUCCUGGAAGGAAAAAAGACAAGUAAAAUUUAUCUGGAGGUGAUCCUACAUUGAAUUAUCAUAUACAAAACUGAAUAUAGUUUAUAGUUUACUUCUGGAUGGAUUUUUUUGGGAAUGAGUAUUUGAAUCUAACUCUGUCAGAUGAGUAAUAUAUCUUUA